GAGUAUUGAACAAGUGGGAU
rnacentral:sRNA from 1 species